GCGAUUCAUUACCAGCACUAAUGCACCGGAUCCAUCAGAACUCCGAAGUCAAGCUGUGCUUGGGCGAGAGUAGUACUAAGAUUGGUGAUAAGUCUUCACUAUUAUGAGUU
rnacentral:rRNA from 1 species